AUACGUAGGGUGCAAGCGUUAUCCGGAAUUAUUGGGCGUAAAGGGCUCGUAGGCGGUUCGUCGCGUCCGGUGUGAAAGUCCAUCGCUUAACGGUGGAUCCGCGCCGGGUACGGGCGGGCUUGAGUGCGGUAGGGGAGACUGGAAUUCCCGGUGUAACGGUGGAAUGUGUAGAUAUCGGGAAGAACACCAAUGGCGAAGGCAGGUCUCUGGGCCGUUACUGACGCUGAGGAGCGAAAGCGUGGGGAGCGAACAGGAUUAGAUACCCUGGUAGUCCACGCCGUAAACGGUGGAUGCUGGAUGUGGGGCCCGUUCCACGGGUUCCGUGUCGGAGCUAACGCGUUAAGCAUCCCGCCUGGGGAGUACGACCGCAAGGCUAAAACUCAAAGAAAUUGACGGGGGCCCGCACAAGCGGCGGAGCAUGCGGAUUAAUUCGAUGCAACGCGAAGAACCUUACCUGGGCUUGACAUGUUCCCGACGGUCGUAGAGAUACGGCUUCCCUUCGGGGCGGGUUCACAGGUGGUGCAUGGUCGUCGUCAGCUCGUGUCGUGAGAUGUUGGGUUAAGUCCCGCAACGAGCGCAACCCUCGCCCCGUGUUGCCAGCGGAUUAUGCCGGGAACUCACGGGGGACCGCCGGGGUUAACUCGGAGGAAGGUGGGGAUGACGUCAGAUCAUCAUGCCCCUUACGUCCAGGGCUUCACGCAUGCUACAAUGGCCGGUACAACGGGAUGCGACGCGGCGACGCGGAGCGGAUCCCUGAAAACCGGUCUCAGUUCGGAUCGCAGUCUGCAACUCGACUGCGUGAAGGCGGAGUCGCUAGUAAUCGCGAAUCAGCAACGUCGCGGUGAAUGCGUUCCCGGGCCUUGUACACACCGCCCGUCAAGUCAUGAAAGUGGGCAGCACCCGAAGCCGGUGGCCUAACCCCUUGUGGGAUGGAGCCGUCUAAGGUGAGGCUCGUGAUUGGGACU
rnacentral:rRNA from 1 species